CCUACGGGAGGCAGCAGUAGGGAAUAUUGGGCAAUGGACGCAAGUCUGACCCAGCCAUGCCGCGUGCAGGAAGAAGGCGUUAUGCGUUGUAAACUGCUUUUAUACAGGAAGAAACGACUCUUGCGAGAGGCAUUGACGGUACUGUAUGAAUAAGCACCGGCUAACUCCGUGCCAGCAGCCGCGGUAAUACGGAGGGUGCAAGCGUUGUCCGGAUUUAUUGGGUUUAAAGGGUGCGCAGGUGGUUUAUUAAGUCAGUGGUGAAAGACGGUCGCUCAACGAUUGCAGUGCCAUUGAAACUGGUAGACUUGAGUAAAGUAGAGGUGGGCGGAAUUGAUAGUGUAGCGGUGAAAUGCAUAGAUAUUAUCAAGAACUCCAAUUGCGAAGGCAGCUCACUUGGCUUUUACUGACACUCAUGCACGAAAGUGUGGGUAUCAAACAGGAUUAGAUACCCUGGUAGUCCACACUGUAAACGAUGAUAACUAGGUGUCGGCCGAAUCUGGUCGGUGCCACAGCGAAAGCGUUAAGUUAUCCAACCUGGGGAGUUACGCCGGCAACGGUUGAAACUUCAAAUUGAAUUGACGG
rnacentral:rRNA from 1 species